ensembl:snRNA U5 U5 spliceosomal RNA
UGUUACAGCUCGAGUUUCAAUCACGCACAAAUCUUUCGCCUUUUACUAAAGAUUUCCGUGGGGAGGAACUAUUGUGAGUUUUGUUUAUUUUUGGGUGCUCUGCUAUCUGCAGAGCU